AUUUGAAAGUAAUUGAAAGCAGAUGUUUACUAGCUGGCUUUAGAUUUGUAAUAUGCCAACUCCAAAAACUGACUAACCCAUAAAAACUAAAGUGAAGUGCAAAUGCAUGUUUAGAGAUAGGCUAAGUGAGUGAAUUUGAAUAUUGUCAGUUAAUUUAUAACGACUAUUAUGAUAUUAACUGAAUAAUAUUAGGUACUCUACAAACAAGUUACUUUAAUGAAAUUGGCAGUGUUUACCUUAGUAGCUGGGAUUCUAACAGCUUAUCUUUGGGUUCAUAUAUUUGCUACAAUGGCAGCUACUGUUUUUAAACCAGGAUUAUUUUCUGUGGUUUAUAUCACAGCACCCACUCAAGAAGUAGCUAAAAAAAUUGCACGGGGAUUGGUGGAAAACCAGUUAGCAGCAUGUGUAAACAUCGUUCCGGGCAUCACAUCCAUAUACAAGUGGGAAGGAAAAAUUGAAGAGGACUCAGAAUUACUUCUGAUGGUAAAAACGAGAACACAGAAGAUUGUUGAACUGACAACAUAUGUGAAGGCCAAUCAUCCUUAUUCAGUGCCUGAAGUCAUAUCUACUCCUAUUGAAUCAGGACAUGACUUGUACUUGAAAUUUCUGAACGACUCUAUUCCAGAAAAUAGUUGAAGACCCACUGAAAAAUUCUUCUCAUGCAAUAACCAACAUGGUGUAUUGUGUAGUCAUUGCCCUAUACAAUAAUUCCAUAAGACAAGAAACUAUGAAGGUAUGCAUAGUAGACAGUAAUGAGGAUGUUUGUAUUUACAAUAUAUCUUAGCCUAAUUAAUAAAAAAAUACCCUUAGACACCUUA
rnacentral:misc_RNA from 1 species